rnacentral:rRNA from 1 species
CUACGGGCCGCACCAGGCGCGAAACCUUUACAAUGCACGAAAGUGUGAUAAGGGAAUCCUAAGUGCUCAUGUAUUUCAUGGGCUUUUGUCAAGGGUAAAUACCUUGGAGAAUAAGUGGUGGGUAAGACUGAUGCCAGCAGCCGCGGUAACACCAGCGCCACAAGUGGGAAUCGGCUUUAUUUGGCCUAAAGCGUCCGUAGCUGGUUUAGUAAAUCUUUUGUGAAAUCGAACAGCUUAACUGUUCGGCGUGCAGAAGACACUGCUAGACUUGAGACCGGGAGGGGUAUGGAGUAUUCUGGGGGGACCGGUAAAAUGGGAUAAUCCUCGGAAGACUACCUGUGGCGAAGGCGCCAUACCAGAACGGAUCUGACAGUGAGGGACGAAGGCUAGGGGAGCGAACCGGUUUAGAUACCCUGGUAGUC